UAAGGAAUAUUGGUCAAUGGGCGCAAGCCUGAACCAGCCAUGCCGCGUGCAGGAAGACGGCCCUAUGGGUUGUAAACUGCUUUUGUCAGGGAAUAAACCCCCGCUCGUGCGCGGGGCUGAAGGUACCUGAAGAAUAAGCAUCGGCUAACUCCGUGCCAGCAGCCGCGGUAAUACGGAGGAUGCAAGCGUUAUUCGGAUUCAUUGGGUUUAAAGGGUGCGCAGGCGGAUUGGUAAGUCAGGGGUGAAAUCCCACAGCUCAACUGUGGAACUGCCUUUGAUACUGUCAGUCUAGAGUAUAGUUGAAGUGGGCGGAAUGUGUCAUGUAGCGGUGAAAUGCUUAGAUAUGACACAGAACACCGAUCGCGAAGGCAGCUCGCUAAGCUAUAACUGACGCUCAUGCACGAAAGCGUGGGGA
rnacentral:rRNA from 1 species